rnacentral:rRNA from 1 species
AACGAACGCUGGCGGCGUGCUUAACACAUGCAAGUCGAACGAAGUUACUUCGGUAACUUAGUGGCGCACGGGUGAGUAAUGCAUAGGAACGUGCCUAAUGGUGGGGAAUAACUAAGGGAAACUUUAGCUAAUACCGCAUGAUAUCGUGAGAUCAAAGGGGGCCUAUCCUUGGAAGCUCCCGCCAUUAGAGCGGCCUAUGUCCUAUUAGCUAGUUGGUAGGGUAAUGGCCUACCAAGGCGAUGAUGGGUAACUGGUCUGAGAGGAUGAUCAGUCACACUGGAACUGAGACACGGUCCAGACUCCUACGGGAGGCUG